AAUCUUAACCCAUCCCAUUUGGCGGCCUUCAAUCUUAUUAGAGGAACUUGUUAUUUAACCGAUGAUACGCGAUAUUUUUUCCUUAAACCCAGUUUUUAUACCGCCGUCCAAAGGAUAAAAUUAGAUAUUUUACCCAUCACAUACCCCACCAAGUAAAAAUGUCAGGUCGAGGUGAAGCUAAUGUUUGAGUUUCAAUGAGUUAUCAAUAAAAAUAAUUUAUGGACUUUUGUUAAAAAACAUAAAUCGAAUUAAGAUUUAAAAGUAUUUUCAGUUCAUUACAGUGAAAAGAAGAAGCAAAAAAGGUGUACAUAUCGCCCGUCGCCCUCGUCCAAAGAUGAGGUAAGUCGUAACACAGUUAAUAUACUGGAAAGUGUAUUAAGCGCAUUAAUUCUAGCUUUAAGCAUUUCACUUACACUGAAAAGAUUUCAUUUACUUAGAUUUCAAUUUCAUGUAUAAAAUCUUUGUCCUAAUAUUUAUCUAAUUCAACACUUUAAAAACUGAAAAGGAACAUUAUAAUAUAAUAAAAGUAAAAUCAUGUACCUUUUGUAUCAGGGAUUAUCAAACCAUUAUGAAGACUCCAUUCUCCCGAAAUAGGGCGAACUUUGUAUUUUAGUAAAAGUUAUGGCAUAAACAAUAUAAACUAUAUAAAGAUGAGAUAUUCUUCUCAAGCUUCCCUUUAUCUGGUUCACUUUUCAUUUAUACACCCAAACAACAUAAAGAACAAGCUUUGUGCUUAGGUUUUCAAUUCUCCACACCCUUUUACUCUAGAAUUAAUAGUAUUCAUGUAGUCUUCAAACCCUUCCACCGUACUCUUUCCAAACAAAAAUCAAGUGGCCAUUCCCAUCAAUCUUACAAUGAAAAUAUUAGUAAAAUUUUUCCUUCUCUUUUUCUAUAAAAACCCCACCCCCUAAUCAUAAAUUCACAUCGAAAUUAUGAACUAGGCCCUCAAUCAAUUGACUGUUUAUCAAAAACAUAGCUAAUAGGUUACAAUUAUUAGUAGUACCUGCUCCAUGAGAAAUAAAUAGCCGCAAA
rnacentral:rRNA from 1 species